rnacentral:rRNA from 1 species
GACGAACGCUGGCGGCGUGCUUAACACAUGCAAGUCGAACGGAAAGGCCCUGCUUUUGUGGGUUGCUCGAUUGGCGAACGGGUGUGUAACACGUGAGUCACCUGCCCUUUACUUUGGGAUAACUUCUGGUACCUCGUUCUACUACCGCAUAUGUGCUCCUGCUGCAUGUUGGGGUUUGGAUUGUUUCGGCGGUUGUGGAUGGACUGGCGGCUUAUCAGCUUGUUGGUGGGGUAGUGGCUUACCAAGGCUUUGACGGGUAGCCGGCCUGAGAGGGUGACAGGAGACAAUGGGAAGGAGAUAGGGACCAGAAUGGAACGGGAGGCAGGAGAGGGGAAGAUAGCAAAAGGGGAGGAAGGAUGAUGCAGAAACGCAGCGAGCGGGAUGAAGGCCUUGGGGGUGAAAACAGAUUUCGGGUGUGACGAAGAGUGAGGGACGGUAAUGGGUAAAGAAGCACCGGCUAACUACGUG